CGGGUGAGUAACACGUGGGUAACCUGCCUGUAAGACUGGGAUAACUCCGGGAAACCGGGGCUAAUACCGGAUGGUUGUUUGAACCGCAUGGUUCAAACAUAAAAGGUGGCUUCGGCUACCACUUACAGAUGGACCCGCGGCGCAUUAGCUAGUUGGUGAGGUAACGGCUCACCAAGGCAACGAUGCGUAGCCGACCUGAGAGGGUGAUCGGCCACACUGGGACUGAGACACGGCCCAGACUCCUACGGGAGGCAGCAGUAGGGAAUCUUCCGCAAUGGACGAAAGUCUGACGGAGCAACGCCGCGUGAGUGAUGAAGGUUUUCGGAUCGUAAAGCUCUGUUGUUAGGGAAGAACAAGUACCGUUCGAAUAGGGCGGUACCUUGACGGUACCUAACCAGAAAGCCACGGCUAACUACGUGCCAGCAGCCGCGGUAAUACGUAGGUGGCAAGCGUUGUCCGGAAUUAUUGGGCGUAAAGGGCUCGCAGGCGGUUUCUUAAGUCUGAUGUGAAAGCCCCCGGCUCAACCGGGGAGGGUCAUUGGAGACUGGGGAACUUGAGUGCAGAAGAGGAGAGUGGAAUUCCACGUGUAGCGG
rnacentral:rRNA from 1 species